GGAGUAUUGCUGCCACCAGCUUGCUCCCCACUCUCUCUUUGGUGAUGAUACCGUCGCCUUUAGAUCCUGGCUAAUGGGGAGGGGAGCCAGAAGUUUUUUCUUCUCUUUAUUUGCAACUCGUGUCUCAUAUGCCUCCACCAGGAAUUCUGCAGGGUUCAUGGCAAUCAGCGGAGAACAUCCGAUUGAUUGAAAAUAAGCCAUAGCUUCCGAAGCCUUCCCGAAGUACAGCAGACUUCCUUUCCCAAGAAGAAUCAACUUGUCGAAUUUAAGGAAGAGUCUGCUCGAUGGCUGAUGAAUUGUAGUUAGUACUGUCUUCCCAGCCUGUCACAUGGUCAAAACAGUGCUGUCUCAGCAUGUUGAGGCACAGUUAUUGGACUGAAUUAUAUCUGUGGUCCGUUUAUUAUGGUCAUGUUAAGAGCAAGCUAAGUCAUCAAGAUGUUAACUUUCAUUACAUCAAUGAUCUGUAUGGUAUGUUACUACUACUAUCAUAUUGAUAUGCUUGCUACCUUUUAUCGACCGAUGUGCUGCUAAAAGUUUGGGUCAUGACUGUUAUAGAUGUCUACAUUAGUGCUUGUGUAUGGCUGGCUUUUUUAUUUUAAUUUUUUUUCUCUUCCUUUCAUUUUCAUUCAAUGAAUUGAGUGGAAACAUGGUCCUGAAGGGAAGGUUUGGAAUAAGAUUGUUAGGGGUGAAUAUACUGUGUUCUAAUCAAAUUACUGAAAACUUAACAAGAGUACUUCAUCUUUAUGUUGCAA